UCGUGUCAUCUUUGGUGAUACGAGGUGUAGCGUAUAGACUGCGGUUUUGGGCCAGUCCAUCCGUUAAAGUUUCCCUUGACUGGGGCUCCAGAGAAGGUGCAAGACCUGUCCAGCGGAUGGUGCUGGUGCAUUUCCGUCUGUCUUUGAGUCGGGUUGUUUGGGAUCGCAGCCCAAAGCAGGUGGUAAACUUCAUCUAAGACUGAAUAUGACCACGAAUCCGAUAGCGAACAAGUACUGUGAAGGAAAGUUGCAAAGCACUUUGAAGAGAGAGUUAAAGAGGACGUGAAACCGAUGAGGUGGAAACGGAUAGAGCUGGCGUAUCUGGCCUGUAUUCAGCCGUGAGCUGUCUGGUGUCUAGUUUGUUGCCUUCCAGAUUGGUGCAUGAACUUGGCAUUUUGUUGGUUUGCGGUGCAUUUGCAGGUGGAGUGCGCUGAGGCGGUCGGAGCAGUGGCAUGAGCUUGGUUUUGAGGCCAUAUGCUUUGGUGUGUGGUACCCGAGCCGGGGGAGUGCUAUUUGUUCUGGCCGGAUGUGUGGAUGCUGGUCUCGGGCUCGAGUGGGCACCGAGCUGGCGGUUGGUGGCGGCCGCAUGCGACACGUGCCAGCAGUCAGUUCGGUCCUAUUCGGGCUCACAUUGCUGUCCCGCCUCGGUGUAACAGCCGGUCAUCUAUCCGACCCGUCUUGAAACACGGACCAAGGAGUUUAGCGUGUGCGCGAGUCAUUGGGCGUUGAAAACCCAAAGGCGUAAUGAAAGUGAAUGCACCCCUUGUGGGGCUGAUGUGCGAUCCAAGGUGACUACGGUUGCCAGGCGCAGCAUAGUCCCGUCCCAAUCGCAUGCGAUGGGGCGGAGACAGAGCGUACGCGCUGAGACCCGAAAGAUGGUGAACUAUUCCUGAGCAGGAUGAAGCCAGAGGAAACUCUGGUGGAAGUCCGAAGCGAUUCUGACGUGCAAAUCGA
rnacentral:rRNA from 1 species